CACGGAGUUAGCCGGUCCUUAUUCUUACGGUACCGUCAAGCCUCUUCACGAAGAGGUGUUUCUUCCCGUACAAAGCAGUUUACACACCAUAGAUGCUUCAUCCUGCACGCGGCAUGGCUGGAUCAGGCUUGCGCCCAUUGUCCAAUAUUCCUCACUGCUGCCUCCCGUAGGAGUCUGGUCCGUGUCUCAGUACCAGUGUGGGGGAUCUCCCUCUCAGGACCCCUACCCAUCAUUGCCUUGGUAUGCCGUUACCACACCAACUAGCUAAUGGGACGCAUGCUCAUCUUACACCGAUAAAUCUUUAAUAUAAUAGUGAUGCCACUUCUAUAUACUAUAAGGUAUUAAUCCAAAUUUCUCUGGGCUAUCCCUUAGUGUAAGGCAGAUUGCAUACGCGUUACGCACCCGUGCGCCGGUCUCAAAGCCCGAAAGCUUCUACCCCUCGACUUGCAUGUGUUAGGCCUGCCGCUAGCGUUCAUCCUGAGCCAGGA
rnacentral:rRNA from 1 species